UAGAAGGUUAUCCCAGCAUGGGAUGAUCCCGAGGUAGAUGCGAAGAUGCUCGCGCACUGCGCUACCUGGUGGAGAGGGAAGAGCCAGUGUGGAAGGCUCGGCCGGACUCUCCCCACGGGUUCCCGCUCCAUGAGCGACCCCAGGGAGAGCUGAGAGCCCCAGGCCCCAGGCAUCUACAAGUGACUACAUUUCCCAGAGGUCUGUGCGCAACAGUAGGGGGGGCGGAGCCGCGCCUCUCCUCCCAGCCUCCGGUGUGCCGGCUGUUUUAAUCCAGAAAGCUUCGCCCCCACCCUCCCCACCCCCAUCCCCACCCGGGUCUCGCAAAGCUCCGCAGACGCGAGGGACGAACCAGCGCCGCCCGCGUGUCUGCAGAUCCUUAAACCUGUGCCGGCUCUCCGUGACCUCGAGUCAACUUGCAGGCUCAGUGGGACCUCCCCCUGCUCUUCUACCCUGGCUUCUGCAGCAGCCAAACUGAGCCACUCGAGCGGCUUCAGAGCUUUAACGUCUGGUCUUUGGGAACCUUUUCCACUGUCUGUUCUCCCUCUACCCCCUUGUGCUCACCCUGGACCCUGUCGUCUCAGAAGCAUGAUGUAUGGGGACUACAUCACCUAACCUCUCAGAGGCGCCUGUUGUGCUGCAUCUUACAGACAGAAUCUCAUGGAAACUGGGUUCCUGCUGUCACACAGGCCAUUCCGCAGAUUUUGGAUCCCAGGAUGGAGGCCACACACAGCCUGAAACUGCUCAGGAAGUUUACUGCCAAGCACUGGUGAGAUUUAGUUUGGUGUCGUUCUCUCUCUCUCUCUCUCUCUUUUUUAAGAUUUUGUUUAUUCAUGAGAGACACACAGAGAGAGGCAGAGACAUAAGCAGAGGGAGAAGCAGGCUCCAUGUAGGGAGCCCGAUACGGGACUUGAUCCCAGGACCCCAGGAUCACGCCCUGGGCCAAAGGCAGACGCUCAACCACUGA
rnacentral:lncRNA from 1 species